rnacentral:rRNA from 1 species
UACGUAGGCAGCGAGCGUUGUUCGGAGUUACUGGGCGUAAAGGGCACGUAGGCGGUGAAUCGGGUUGAAAGUGAAAGUCGCCAAAAAGUGGCGGAAUGCUCUCGAAACCAAUUCACUUGAGUGAGACAGAGGAGAGUGGAAUUCCUGGUGUAGCGGUGAAAUGCGCAGAUAUCAGGAAGAACACCCGUGGCGAAGGCGGCUCUCUGGAACGCAACUGACGCUGAGACGCGAAAGCGUGGGGAGCAAACAGG